rnacentral:rRNA from 1 species
GAACGCGAAGAACCUUACCAGGUCUUGACAUCCUUUGACCAUUCUGGAGACAGAACUUUCCCUUCGGGGACAAAGUGACAGGUGGUGCAUGGUUGUCGUCAGCUCGUGUCGUGAGAUGUUGGGUUAAGUCCCGCAACGAGCGCAACCCUUGAUUUUAGUUGCCAGCAUUUAGUUGGGCACUCUAAAGUGACUGCCGGUGUAAGCCGGAGGAAGGUGGGGAUGACGUCAAAUCAUCAUGCCCCUUAUGACCUGGGCUACACACGUGCUACAAUGGAUAAUACAAAGGGUCGCGAAGCCGCGAGGUGGAGCCAAUCCCAUAAAAUUAUUCUCAGUUCGGAUUGCAGGCUGCAACUCGCCUGCAUGAAGCCGGAAUCGCUAGUAAUCGUAGAUCAGCAUGCUACGGUGAAUACGUUCCCGGGUCUUGUACACACC